rnacentral:rRNA from 1 species
AUUGAACGCUGGCGGCAUGCUUUACACAUGCAAGUCGAACGGUAACAGGCCUUCGGGUGCUGACGAGUGGCGAACGGGUGAGUAAUGCAUCGGAACGUACCCAGAGGUGGGGGAUAACGCAGCGAAAGCUGUGCUAAUACCUCAUGUGAUCUUAGGAUGAAAGCGGGGGACCGAGCAGCAAUGUUUGGCCUCGCGCCUUUGGAGCGGCCGAUGUCGGAUUAGCUAGUUGGUGGGGUAAAGGCCUACCAAGGCGACGAUCCGUAGCUGGUCUGAGAGGACGACCAGCCACACUGGGACUGAGACACGGCCCAGACUCCUACGGGAGGCAGCAGUGGGGAAUUUUGGACAAUGGGCGCAAGCCUGAUCCAGCAAUGCCGCGUGCGGGAAGAAGGCCUUCGGGUUGUAAACCGCUUUUGGCAGGAACGAAACGGUGUCCGCUAAUACCGGGCGCUAAUGACGGUACCUGCAGAAUAAGCACCGGCUAACUACGUG